rnacentral:rRNA from 1 species
UAACGCGUGGGUAACCUGCCUCAUACAGGGGGAUAACAGUUGGAAACGACUGCUAAUACCGCAUAAGCACACAGUGCCGCAUGGUACGGUGUGAAAAACUCCGGUGGUAUGAGAUGGACCCGCGUCUGAUUAGGUAGUAGGUGAGGUAACGGCCCACCAAGCCGACGAUCAGUAGCCGACCUGAGAGGGUGACCGGCCACAUUGGGACUGAGACACGGCCCAAACUCCUACGGGAGGCAGCAGUGGGGAAUAUUGGACAAUGGGGGAAACCCUGAUCCAGCGACGCCGCGUGAGUGAAGAAGUGUUUCGGCAUGUAAAGCUCUAUCAGCAGGGAAGAAAAUGACGGUACCUGACUAAGAAGCCCCGGCUAACUACGUGCCAGCAGCCGCGGGUAAUACGUAGGGGGGCAAGCGUUAUCCGGAUUUACUGGGUGUAAAGGGAGCGUAGACGGCGAUGCAAGUCUGGAGUGAAAGCCCGGGGCUCAACCCCGGGGACUGCUUUGGAAACUGUGUUGCUAGAGUGCAGGAGAGGUAAGUGGAAUUCCUAGUGUAGCGGUGAAAUGCGUAGAUAUUAGGAGGAACACCAGUGGCGAAGGCGGCUUACUGGACUGUAACUGACGUUGAGGCUCGAAAGCGUGGGGAGCAAACAGGAUUAGAUACCCCUGGUAGUCCACGCCGUAAACGAUGAAUACUAAGGUGUUGGGGAGCAAAGCUCUUCCGGUGCCGCCGCUAACGCAAUAAGUAUUCCACCUGGGGGAGUACGUUCGCAAGAAUGAAACUCAAAGGAAUUGACGGGGACCCGCACAAGCGGUGGAGCAUGUGGUUUAAUUCGAAGCAACGCGAAGAACCUUACCAAGUCUUGACAUCGGAAUGACCGGUCCGUAACGGGGCCUUCCCUUCGGGGCAUUCCAGACAGGUGGUGCAUGGUUGUCGUCAGCUCGUGUCGUGAGAUGUUGGGUUAAGUCCCGCAACGAGCGCAACCCUUAUCCUUAGUAGCCAGCAAGUCAAGUUGGGCACUCUGGGGAGACUGCCAGGGAUAACCUGGAGGAAGGUGGGGAUGACGUCAAAUCAUCAUGCCCCUUAUGAUUUGGGCUACACACGUGCUACAAUGGCGUAAACAAAGGGAAGCAAAGGAGUGAUCCGGAGCAAACCCCAAAAAUAACGUCUCAGUUCGGAUUGUAGUCUGCAACUCGACUACAUGAAGCUGGAAUCGCUAGUAAUCGCGGAUCAGAAUGCCGC